rnacentral:rRNA from 1 species
CAGAGGUCUCAACCGUUGUUCGGAUUCAUUGGGCGUAAAGGGUGCGUAGGCUGCGGAGUAAGUCAGGUGUGAAAUCUCGGGGCUCAACCCCGAAACUGCACUUGAUACUGCUUCGCUCGAGUACUGGAGAGGAGACUGGAAUUUACGGUGUAGCAGUGAAAUGCGUAGAUAUCGUAAGGAAGACCAGUGGCGAAGGCGAGUCUCUGGACAGUUACUGACGCUGAGGCACGAAGGCCAGGGGAGCAAACGGGAUUAGAUACCCCGGUAGUCCUGGCAGUAAACGGUGCACGUUUGGUGUGGGAGGAUUCGACCCCUUCCGUGCCGGAGCUAACGCGUUAAACGUGCCGCCUGAGAAGUACGGUCGCAAGAUUA